rnacentral:rRNA from 1 species
AGAGUUUGAUCAUGGCUCAGGAUGAACGCUGGCGGCGUGGAUAAGGCAUGCAAGUCGAACGCAUUUAGUUGCGUGGCAAACGGGUUAGGAACACGUAGGAACGUACCCUCGAGUCGUGAAUAAUCUGGAGAAAUCCAGGAUAAUACACGAUGUACUCUCCGGAGUAAAGAUUUAUCGCUUGAGGAGCGGCCUGCGUCCCAUCAGCUUGUUGGUAAGGUAAAGGCUUACCAAGGCUAUGACGGGUAGGGGGUGUGAGAGCAUGAUCCCCAACAUUGGAACUGAGACACUGUCCAAACUCCUACGGGAGGCUGCAGUCGAGAAUAUUCCGCAAUGGGCGAAAGCCUGACGGAGCGACGCCGCGUGCAGGAUGAAGGCCCUAGGGUCGUAAACUGCUUUUCUUUGGGAAGAAUUUAUAUGACGGUACCAAAGGAAUAAGAGGUUACUAACUCUGUGCCAGCAGUAGCGGUAAUACAGAGACCUCAAGCGUUAUCCGGAUUUAUUGGGCGUAAAGCGCGCGUAGGCGGGUCUAUUAUUCGUGGGUCAAAUUUCGGAGCUCAGCUCCGAAACUGCUCACGAAACGGUAGAUCUUGAGAUAGUGAGGGAUUGCUGGAACUCAUGGUGUAGUAGUGAAAUGCGUUGAUAUCAUGAGGAACACCGAAGGCGAAGGCAGGCAAUUGGCACUAUUCUGACGCUGAUGUGCGAAAGCGUGGGUAGCGAAUGGGAUUAGAUA